rnacentral:rRNA from 1 species
UAGGGAAUCUUCGGCAAUGGGGGGAACCCUGACCGAGCAACGCCGCGUGAGUGAAGAAGGUUUUCGGAUCGUAAAGCUCUGUUGUUAAGGAAGAACGAGUGUGAGAAUGGAAAGUUCAUACUGUGACGGUACUUAACCAGAAAGGGACGGCUAACUACGUGCCAGCAGCCGCGGUAAUACGUAGGUCCCGAGCGUUGUCCGGAUUUAUUGGGCGUAAAGCGAGCGCAGGCGGUUAGAUAAGUCUGAAGUUAAAGGCAGUGGCUCAACCAUUGUAGGCUUUGGAAACUGUUUAACUUGAGUGCAGAAGGGGAGAGUGGAAUUCCAUGUGUAGCGGUGAAAUGCGUAGAUAUAUGGAGGAACACCGGUGGCGAAAGCGGCUCUCUGGUCUGUAACUGACGCUGAGGCUCGAAAGCGUGGGGAGCGAACAGGAUUAGAUACCCUGGUAGUCCACGCCGUACGAUGAGUGCUAGGUGUUUCCUUUCCGGGACUUAGUGCCGCAGCUAACGCAUUAAGCACUCCGCCUGGGGAGUACGACCGCAAGGUUG